rnacentral:rRNA from 1 species
UACAGAGGUCCCGAGCGUUGUUCGGAUUUAUUGGGCGUAAAGGGUGCGUAGGCGGCGGAGUAAGUUGGGUGUGAAAUCCCGGGGCUUAACCUCGGAAUGGCAUUCAAUACUGCUUCGCUCGAGUACUGGAGAGGAGGCUGGAAUUUACGGUGUAGCAGUGAAAUGCGCAGAUAUCAGGAGGAACACCGGUGGCGAAGGCGGGUCUCUGGGCCGAUACUGACGCUGAGGAGCGAAAGCGUGGGGAGCGAACAGG